AACGUUCGAUAUGCAGUUGAGCGCUGAGGUUGGUACUUGUACCAACUGGAUGAGCAGCGAACGGGUGAGUAACGCGUGGGGAAUCUGCCUUUGAGCGGGGGACAACAUUUGGAAACGAAUGCUAAUACCGCAUAAAAACUUUAAACACAAGUUUUAAGUUUGAAAGAUGCAAUUGCAUCACUCAAAGAUGAUCCCGCGGUAGUUGUAUUAGCUAGUUGGUGAGGUAAAGGCUCACCAAGGCGAUGAUACAUAGCCGACCUGAGAGGGUGAUCGGCCACAUUGGGACUGAGACACGGCCCAAACUCCUACGGGAGGCAGCAGUAGGGAAUCUUCGGCAAUGGACGAAAGUCUGACCGAGCAACGCCGCGUGAGUGAAGAAGGUUUUCGGAUCGUAAAACUCUGUUGGUAGAGAAGAACGUUGGUGAGAGUGGAAAGCAUCUCAUCAAGUGACGGUAACUACCCAGAAAGGGACGGCUAACUACGUGCCAGCAGCCGCGGUAAUACGUAGGUCCCGAGCGUUGUACCCGGAUUUAUCUUGGGCGUAAAGCAAGAGCGCAGGUGGUUUAUUAAGUCUGGUGUAAAAGGCAGUGGCUCAACCAUUGUAUGCAUUGGAAACUGGUAGACUUGAGUGCAGGAGAGGAGAGUGGAAUUCCAUGUGUAGCGGUGAAAUGCGUAGAUAUAUGCGUGAGGAACACCGGUGGCGAAAGCGGCUCUCUGGCCUGUAACUGACACUGAGGCUCGAAAGCGUGGGGAGCAAACAGGAUUAGAUACCCUGGUAGUCCACGCCGUAAACGAUGAGUGCUAGAUGUAGGGAGCUAUAAGUUCUCUGUAUCGCAGCUAACGCAAUAAGCACUCCGCCUGGGGAGUACGACCGCAAGGUUGAAACUCAAAGGAAUUGACGGGGGCCCGCACAAGCGGUGGAGCAUGUGGUUUAAUUCGAAGCAACGCGAAGAACCUUACCAGGUCUUGACAUACUCGUGCUAUUCCUAGAAGAUAGGAAGUUCCUUCGGGACACGGGAUACAGGUGGUGCAUGGUUGUCGUCAGCUCGUGUCGUGAGAUGGUUGGGGUUAAGUCCCGCAACGAGCGCAACCCCUAUUGUUAGUUGCCAUCAUUAAGUUGGGCACUCUAACGAGACUGCCGGUGAUAAACCGGAGGAAAGGUGGGGAUGACGUCAAAUCAUCAUUUGCAUGAGC
rnacentral:rRNA from 1 species